GUCGCAUUGGCGCAAUGGUAGCGCGCAAGACUUCUAUUAUGUCUAGAUCUUGAGGUUGUGGGUUCGAGCCCCACAUGCGAUG
rnacentral:tRNA from 1 species